CUACGGGGGGCUGCAGUGAGGAAUAUUGGGCAAUGGAGGCAACUCUGACCCAGCCAUGCCGCGUGCAGGAAGACGGCCCUCUGGGUUGUAAACUGCUUUUGUUUGGGAAUAAACCCUUCUACGUGUAGAAGGCUGAAGGUACCUUACGAAUAAGGAUCGGCUAACUCCGUGCCAGCAGCCGCGGUAAUACGGAGGAUCCAAGCGUUAUCCGGAUUUAUUGGGUUUAAAGGGUCCGUAGGCGGAUCUUUAAGUCAGUGGUGAAAGCCCACAGCUCAACUGUGGAACUGCCAUUGAUACUGGAGAUUUUGAGUGUAGUAGAAGUAGGCGGAAUAGGGCAUGUAGCGGUGAAAUGCAUAGAUAUGCCCUAGAACACCGAUUGCGAAGGCAGCUUACUAUGUUACAACUGACGCUGAGGGACGAAAGCGUGGGGAGCAAACAGGAUUAGAUACCCUAGUAGUC
rnacentral:rRNA from 1 species